GCUGAUGGCCCAGCUUGCUGGGUUGGAUGAGUGGCGAACGGGUGAGUAACACGUGAGUAACCUGCCCUCUUCUUUGGGAUAACGGUCGGAAACGGCUGCUAAUACCGGGUAUUCACUGUCCUUCGCAUGGGGGGUGGUGGAAAGGUUUUUUCUGGUGGGGGAUGGGCUCGCGGCCUAUCAGCUUGUUGGUGGGGUGAUGGCUUACCAAGGCUUUGACGGGUAACCGGCCUGAGAGGGUGACCGGUCACAUUGGGACUGAGAUACGGCCCAGACUCCUACGGGAGGCAGCAGUGGGGAAUAUUGCACAAUGGGCGAAAGCCUGAUGCAGCGACGCCGCGUGAGGGAUGGAGGCCUUCGGGUUGUAAACCUCUUUCGCUCAUGGUCAAGCCGCAGCUUUGGGUUGUGGUGAGGGUAGUGGGUAAAGAAGCACCGGCUAACUACGUGCCAGCAGCCGCGGUAAUACGUAGGGUGCGAGCGUUGUCCGGAAUUAUUGGGCGUAAAGGGCUUGUAGGCGGUUUGUCGCGUCUGCCGUGAAAUCCUCUGGCUUAACUGGGGGCGUGCGGUGGGUACGGGCAGGCUUGAGUGCGGUAGGGGAGACUGGAACUCCUGGUGUAGCGGUGGAAUGCGCAGAUACCAGGAAGAACACCGGUGGCGAAGGCGGGUCUCUGGGCCGUUACUGACGCUGAGGAGCGAAAGCGUGGGGAGCGAACAGGAUUAGAUACCCUGGUAGUCCACGCUGUAAACGUUGGGCACUAGGUGUGGGGGCCACCCGUGGUUUCUGCGCCGUAGC
rnacentral:rRNA from 1 species